UACGGGGGGGGGCAAGCGUUGUUCGGAAUUACUGGGCGUAAAGGGCUCGUAGGUGGCCAACUAAGUCAGACGUGAAAUCCCUCGGCUUAACCGGGGAACUGCGUCUGAUACUGGUUGGCUUGAGAUUGGGAGAGGGACGCGGAAUUCCAGGUGUAGCGGUGAAAUGCGUAGAUAUCUGGAGGAACACCGGUGGCGAAGGCGGGUCUCUGGGCCGAUACUGACGCUGAGGAGCGAAAGCGUGGGGAGCGAACAGG
rnacentral:rRNA from 1 species